UAUUAGGUUGCUGCAAAAGUAAUCGCGGUCUUUGCCAUUAAAAGUAAUGGCAAAGACCGCGAUUACUUUUGCACUAGCCUAAUA
rnacentral:pre_miRNA from 2 species